UACGGAAGGCAGCAGUGGGGAAUCUUGCGCAAUGGGCGAAAGCCUAACGCAGCCAUGCCGCGUGAAUGAUGAAGGUCUUAGGAUUGUAAAAUUCUUUCACCGGGGACGAUAAUGACGGUACCCGGAGAAGAAGCCCCGGCUAACUUCGUGCCAGCAGCCGCGGUAAUACGAAGGGGCUAGCGUUGCUCGGAAUUACUGGGCGUAAAGGGAGCGUAGGCGGACUGUUUAGUCAGAGGUGAAAGCCCAGGGCUCAACCUUGGAAUUGCCUUUUGAUACUGGCAGUCUUGAGUACGGAAGAGGUAUGUGGAACUCCGAGUGUAGAGGUGAAAUUCGUAGAUAUUCGGAAGAACACCAGUGGCGAAGGCGACAUACUGGUCCGUUACUGACGCUGAGGCUCGAAAGCGUGGGGAGCAAACAGGGAUUUAGAUACCCGU
rnacentral:rRNA from 1 species